rnacentral:lncRNA from 1 species
GGCAGGGAGGCCACCUGCCUGCUGCUGCGUGUGCAUGGAACCCUGGACACCGCAUCUUCUGGUGAGUUUGUUGGACACGAUCAUGGGGAAGACGGGGUUGAUUCGUUUGUGAAUUUGUGUGGUUGGGUGAUUAUUGUUGCUAGUGCUACAUACUAUUGAAACGUUAAUCAUGCCUAUGGUUUUUGUUCUCUCAUUUACCCGUGUUGACGCCGAAUUUUGACACGUGUUUGGGUCGGCGUCAAAGGAGAGGAAGGUGGCCGACACGGCGAGCAAGAAGCUACAGUUGGGAAUCGGCCGAUUAGAGCUACAGUGUUUCGGCCGAUCGGCUGAAGGAGCCAAAGUGACUGGGCCGAUGUGGGCCUAAAGUGGGCCAGGGUGAUGAUUAGCUGAAGGAAAAAGAUUGGCCCGUGGGAAAAUAAUAACAAACUCCGAUACGGGUUGCGUACAUUUGUAAAUAUUUAUCUUUAAAAUUAGAAAUAGAUUCUAGUCGGUUAGGAAAUCGGUUGUAACAGGGUAUAAAUAGCUGCCUCGUAAGACUUGUAAACAACAACACAUCAAUCAAUACAAAAAAUCUACUUUUUU